rnacentral:rRNA from 1 species
AUUGAACGCUGGCGGCAGGCCUAACACAUGCAAGUCGAGCGAGCGGGGGAAGGGUGAGUCAAGUAUGGGGACAGCCCGAUAGAGGGGGAUAACUACUGGAAACGGUGGCUAAUACCGCAUAUUGUCGGAUCACACCUAGGGGAUUGGCUAGUAGGGAGGGUAAUGGCUGACCUAGGCGACGAUCCCUAGCUGGGAUGAGAGUGUGAUCAGCCGCACUGGGAGUGAUACACGGCCAAGACUCCUACGGAGGCAGCAGUGGGGAAUAUUGCACAAUGGGCGCAAGCCUGAUGCAGCCAUGCCGCGUGUAUGAAGAGGGCCCUAGGGUUGUAAAGUACUUUCAGCGGGGAGGCGUUACCGACAGAAGAAGCACCGGCUAACUCCGUGCCAGCAGCGGCGGUAAUAC